AUGAUGUCGACCAAUACAGCUAAAGAUUUGAAAACUUGGGGAAUUAUCCUCCGAUUGCUAAAAAGAUCUCGGGAAGAGAGGGAAACCUGGAAGGCUGCCCGGGAUGCGCUGUUUCAUCAGGAGGAGGCUGAGACCCAGACCAAAGAGGAACAAAACAGGGGGGAAACGGGGGCUCAGGGGGAGGAAGCCUCGGCUCCCUCCAUCUUGCCCGUAUGCCCUCGCGAUCCGCCCCCGACGUAUCCAUGGCAGGAUUUAGCGCGGGCUGACUGUGGGGCGGGGGAGAGAGGAUUCGACCCAGAGGACUGUGUACCAGGAGCUCCGCUACAAAAGGACCUUAGCGACGAGGAUAGAGCGUUACUUCAGGGGGCAGCAGGGGGGGAAAAGACCCAAAAGGGGAGAAGGAACAGGGAGGGCGAAGAAUGGGUGGAUAGGUACCAAUCAGAACGAAGGGAACGAUAUGAAACCAAAAAAGGCAGAAAAAGAGAACUGCCACCGAUUAGGGAAGAACUAUCGGAGGAUAGUGAGGGGGAGGGCUCAGACAUGCAAGAACUUACUCGUAGACAGCGGGAGUGUGCGAUAGGAGGGAGCAAGAAAAAAGAAGCACGGACCCGCAGGGAGGGGGAGGCGAUCGGGGCAGUUGACAACUUGCUACAUGCCCUGGACGAGAUUCGGCAGGAAGUAAUAAAGCAGAAGGAGUUGUUGCAAGGGGUGAAAGGUGCUGGAACUCCUGCCCUGUCAGUGCUGCUCACAGACUGGCGGCUCAUAGCGGAGUCCUGCGCACUGCAAGGGCUGAGAUUCGAGCAAGCGCCACAGGCAUGCCCCGUAAGAGUGGUGCCAGGUGGAGGAAUUCAGUGGGUAGCCCUGGAGCCUAAGAUAGUGCAAGGCCUAAUGACAUCGAUAAAAGACAACGGCCUGAAGCACCAACAGACCCAAAUGUUGCUAGAUAGCCUGCACGCUCAGCCGUGUAUUCCAUAUGACUUGAGGCUGUUGGCGAAGGCGAUCUUAGCCCCUACACACUGGAUUCUGUGGAAAGAAGCCUGGCAAGGCCGGUGUGCYGCCCUUGCGGCAGCAGCAGCCGGCGACCCUAACCACCCCCUGGCAGGUACCACCCUAGAACGCCUAGUGGGAAGAGGUCCGAACCUUGCAUCCCCAAAUCAACAGGCGACCGCGCUAAGGGCCCGGGAGGUGGUGGCCACUACAGAGGCCUCUCGAGCCGCCUAUGAGGAGAUUGGGAAGUUGGUAAAAAUGGAACCCCCAUGGACAAGAAUCAAACAGGCGAAUGCAGAGAGUUUCACCGCCUUCUGCGAUCGG
rnacentral:lncRNA from 1 species